ACUAGAUGGCUGAAAGCAAGUACUGGU
rnacentral:tRNA from 1 species